GACGAACGCUGGCGGCGUGCCUAAUACAUGCAAGUCGAACGCUUCUUUCCUCCCGAGUGCUUGCACUCAAUUGGAAAGAGGAGUGGCGGACGGGUGAGUAACACGUGGGUAACCUACCCAUCAGAGGGGGAUAACACUUGGAAACAGGUGCUAAUACCGCAUAACAGUUUAUGCCGCAUGGCAUAAGAGUGAAAGGCGCUUUCGGGUGUCGCUGAUGGAUGGACCCGCGGUGCAUUAGCUAGUUGGUGAGGUAACGGCUCACCAAGGCCACGAUGCAUAGCCGACCUGAGAGGGUGAUCGGCCACACUGGGACUGAGACACGGCCCAGACUCCUACGGGAGGCAGCAGUAGGGAAUCUUCGGCAAUGGACGAAAGUCUGACCGAGCAACGCCGCGUGAGUGAAGAAGGUGUUCGGAUCGUAAAACUCUGUUGUUAGAGAAGAACAAGGACGUUAGUAACUGAACGUCCCCUGACGGUAUCUAACCAGAAAGCCGCGGCUAACUACGUG
rnacentral:rRNA from 1 species